AGAAAAGUUGUCUAGAGAAACUAAAAUGCAGAGAGAGCUUAGGAAAAGGAGAUUUCAAUGUUAAAUUUCAAACCGAGGUACGCCGAUCGUUUUUCGGCCGAUUUUGAUGAUUCUUGAAGCUAUCUCUUUGAUUUUUCCUCUAAUAUCAAGGUGAAUAAAGCAUGUCGGAUUAGGAAUCCGGUGGCUUUUUUUUUUGCUCCGGUGAGCAUAAGAAUUCCGCUCACCACGAGCAGAAUUCCGCUCGACUUUGCCGGUGGAAUUCUGCUCACCACGAGCAAAAUUCUGCUCGACUUUGCCGGUAGAAUUCUGUCGUCGGCAGAACUCUGUUCUACUCUUAACGAGCAGAAUGUGUAGGCAGUCCCCAACCAUGUUCGGGAGCGAGUUUUCUAUGAUAAUUCGACUCCUAAACGCGAUGAUUUCAGUCCGGAUGUAUAUAUUGUAACCUGACGAUGUUGCGAGACCCGGCGAGACAGCUACUGACGGGACCGGAACUCGAGGAGCGUGAAGCCGAUUUGCUUGGUUUGGAAAUUAUGGAUAGCAAGUCGUGAGUUUAUAUUUUUACUGUCACUUAUAAAUACUUGCAUUAUUUUAUAAAAUGCUUUAUUUGAACUUCAUUUUGCAUCUUAAAUGUUUCGAAACCUAAUAUAGAUCCGGUGAAACAACCUAUCUAUUGGGCAACAAUAGAACUGUGUGUACACCAGUUAUAAUAAAUUUAAUAUACGUCUAAUAAUAAAUAAGAUAUGAAGCCAUAUAAGAAUCUCCUAUAAUUCGUCUUACAAGGUUAACUCGCUGGAACUAUCUCGGGACUGCAUCAAUUAAGAUAUGAGGUUAGCUCGGUAGAACUAUCUCGAGUACUGUAUCUCU